rnacentral:tRNA from 1 species
UAGCUCAGAUGGUAAAGCAUCUGACUACAAUGCAGGAGACCCAGGUUCGAUCCCUGG